rnacentral:lncRNA from 1 species
CCGCACCAUGUGGCAUCCCUAAACGUGUCCUUGAUUCCCCUCCACCACCUCAUUUGUAAAAUCCAAAUGUGCUCCGUCCCGUCGUGGAGGCUCUGUUCCCUCCACUCCCCAGACUCCUGCGAGGGAGACCCAGGAGGAAGCUCAUGCCUGCUGUCCUUCCUGCCCGGAGACGCUCUGUCCCUGCUGAUCAGUGAGCCCAGAGACGGCUGGCACUACGGCCAGAACGAGCGCACGGGACGAAAAGGCUGGUUUCCCUUCUCCUACACACAGCCUUUCCCCAACUCUCCCGGACAAGAUCUCAGUGCUCCUGUCCUGUCGAAGGUGAACAGCAGCAGUAUGGGGCAGCUGGACAGGCUUCCCCCCGCGGGUCAGGGGCCGCAGGUCAGUCCUGACUCUGUCGCGCUCUUUGUGUUCGUGGUCUGUGGAUCAGGUGAGACGUGA